GUCACACAUAAUAUAAUGAUUUAAUAGAGAUUAACAAAAAUCAAAUCUUGUGAUGCUCGACAAAGACUUGAAUGGUAUGGACAUAUUGUCCAUUUGACAGAGCGGUUUCGAACCUCCUAUGGAAUUAACUGAGAUUCAAAGCAACAAAACUUGAGAUCCUUCAUUGAAUUCAUAAAUCAAGUAGAAAGAGAAUAUUAGAGGAG
rnacentral:lncRNA from 1 species